rnacentral:misc_RNA from 1 species
GAUGAAGAACGUAGCGAAAUGCGAUAAGUAAUGCGAAUUGCAGAAUUCAGUGAGUCAUCGAAUCUUUGAACGCGCAUUGCGCCCUGUGGUAUUCCGCAGGGCAUGCCUGUUCGAGCGUCAUUUCAACCCUCAAGCUCUGCUUGGUGUUGGGCCCUGCCCGCUGCGGCCGGCCCUAAAGACAGUGGCGGUGCCGCCUGGCCCUGAGCGUAGUACAUCUCUCGCUCCAGUGCCCGGUGGUAGCCUGCCAGAACCCCAACUCUCGUGGUUGACCUCGGAUCAGGUAGGGAUACCCGCUGAACUUAAGCAUAUCAAUAAGCGGAGGA